AUGACGUCUCCGCGCCAACUACGUCUUAACCUGGAUGCUCUUGAUCUCCCGACGCGGGAUCUAGGUGGACUAGAGCGGACAUUCACGGAGGAGGAAAUUCUGCAAACUAUCAAGUUCGUGCCACUAGAUAAGGCUCCGGGUCCGGAUGGAUUCACAACCAGGUUCUAUGUUUCAUGCUGGCCUAUUAUCAAAGAUGAUCUGUUCGCAGCUUUCUCGAUGUUCCACCAUGGUGAUAUGAGGGGUUUGGCUUCCAUCAACAAGGCGCUGGUUACUCUUUUGCGAAAAGGGAUGGUGCAGAGGAAUUGA
rnacentral:rRNA from 1 species